GAAAUAUCCUGCCUGGCAGACGGGUUGGCAGGCAGCCAGCCUCUAUUGAGCUCGUGACGUUCUAAGUACUGAAUAUCACAAUUCUCAAUCAAGAAAUCCCUAUUUUGAAAACCCUAAAUCUAAACACCAUUCUCUGGCCAGGGUUUGGCACAGAAAUGGAAUUCCAACAAGAGCAAGAAAAUAGCAAGAAGAAGAAGAAGACGAGAGAUUUGCCCAACUUGUCGGAAUGCCACUCUUGCGGCUUUCGAUUCGAUUCUUGCACCGGUAAGAACAGACUCCAAACCCUAUACAGUGAAUGGCGUAUUGUCCUCCUCUGUAAAAUUUGCUUUGCUCGCGUCGAGUCCUCCCAACUUUGUUCUUACUGUUUCAAAGGUUCGUCUGAUAAUUGCUUUCAUUGUUGUGAAUGUAAACGCAUUAUACACAAAUCUUGCUUCUUUGAUUAUGCCAGUGUUGCUCCUUGCUCUUUUUCUUCUUCUAAUUUUUCCGUUUGCGUCGAUUGUUGGGUCCCCAAAUCCCUUGCUGCCAAAAGGGCAUCUUUUAGGCCUAGCAAGAGGAAGAAUUCUGCGGUUUUGGGUUUUGGGGAUGGCCGGACUAUGUUGCCUGAGGAUGGGGUUGGGGAUGCCAAUUCUGCUGUGCACAGGAAGAUUGAGGCCGCUGCUAAGGCUAGAGAGUUGGCUGUGGAGAAGGCUUUAGCUGCAAGAAGGGCGGCUGAGUUGGCUACCAGUGCUUCGGAUUCCAUGACUGCCGGAGAUGAUAAUGGCAUUCCUGCUACUGGCAUUGAUGAUGUAGAGUUGGCUUUGCAGUUGCAUCGAGCAAUUAAUAGCUCACCCAGGAUUUUAAGGAAUUUGUGCUCUGUCAAUUCCUGUUGCUUGGCCGUUCGUAAAUCAUUGGAUAGUUCUGGUAAAAGUGUUUCUGACCCUUCCGUUUGUGUUAGGGUUUCAGGUUAUGGUUCUUCAAUAAAUAUGGAUUAUUUGGAAUCUAAUGGAAUUGAUGAUGCUUGGAUUAGACAAAAUGCUAAAAAUUCUAAUGUUGAAGUGCGGCUCAAGGAGGGAGAAGGAAGCUGUUCGGAUAGAGUGAUGAACUCUGAGUCUCAAUCUUGUGGGAAGGGGAAUGGGCCAGUGGUGCCUGCAGAUGAAAGAUUCAAUGGAAAGCCUGCUGGAUACUUGGUAAAGUACAAUAGGAGAGCUCCUGCAGAUGAAAGAUACCAUGGGGAGGCUGAUCGAUAUUUGUUCAAGUAUACUAGGAGAAAAAAUGCAGAAGAAAAACGCCAUGGAAAGCCUGAUCGAUAUUUGUUUAAGUAUAC
rnacentral:misc_RNA from 1 species